rnacentral:ncRNA from 1 species
GAAGCGAAAAACACGGCCCGGUUGGUAGUCCGGGCGCGGCGGGGCGAGUCCCAGCCCCAUGAGCCGUCAGUAACCUGCCUCCUUGGUUGUCCGCGCUCC